rnacentral:rRNA from 1 species
GGGUCCUUUGGGCCCAACCUCCCAUCCGUGUCUAUUGUACCCUGUUGCUUCGGCGGGCCCGCCGCUUGUCGGCCGCCGGGGGGGCGCCUCUGCCCCCCGGGCCCGUGCCCGCCGGAGACCCCAACACGAACACUGUCUGAAAGCGUGCAGUCUGAGUUGAUUGAAUGCAAUCAGUUAAAACUUUCAACAAUGGAUCUCUUGGUUCCGGCAUCGAUGAAGAACGCAGCGAAAUGCGAUAACUAAUGUGAAUUGCAGAAUUCAGUGAAUCAUCGAGUCUUUGAACGCACAUUGCGCCCCCUGGUAUUCCGGGGGGCAUGCCUGUCCGAGCGUCAUUGCUGCCCUCAAGCCCGGCUUGUGUGUUGGGUCGCCGUCCCCCUCUCCGGGGGGACGGGCCCGAAAGGCAGCGGCGGCACCGCGUCCGAUCCUCGAGCGUAUGGGGCUUUGUCACAUGCUCUGUAGGAUUGGCCGGCGCCUGCCGACGUUUUCCAACCAUUCUUUCCAGGUUGACCUCGGAUCAGGUAGGGGGAUACCCGCUGAAACUUAAGCAUA